UAACGUAGGCAGCAAGGCGUUGUUCGGAAUUACUGGGCGUAAAGGAGUGUGUAGGCGGUGUUCUAAGUUUGGUGUGAAAUCUCCCGGCUCAACUGGGAGGGUGCGCCGAAAACUGGAAUGCUAGAGUAUGGGAGAGGUAAGCGGAAUUCCGGGUGUAGCGGUGGAAUGCGUAGAGAUCCGGAGGAAGACCGGUGGCGAAGGCGGUCUGCUGGGCAGUUUCUGACACUGAUGCGCGACACGGUGGG
rnacentral:rRNA from 1 species